rnacentral:rRNA from 1 species
GUCGAGAAUUUUGGGCAAUGGACGAAAGUCUGACCCAGCAAUGCCGCGUGCGGGAUGAAGGUCUUCGGAUUGUAAACCGCUGUCGAGGGGGACGAAAUAUGACGGUACCCCUGGAGGAAGCCACGGCUAACUACGUGCCAGCAGCCGCGGUAAUACGUAGGUGGCGAGCGUUGUUCGGAUUUAUUGGGCGUAAAGGGUCCGCAGGGGGUUGAUUAAGUCUGACGUGAAAUCUCUGAGCUCAACUCAGAAAUUGCGUUGGAGACUGGUUGACUAGAGUGUUGGAGAGGUAAUUGGAAUUCCAGGUGUAGCGGUGGAAUGCGUAGAUAUCUGGAAGAACAUCGAAAGCGAAGGCAGAUUACUGGACAACAACUGACCCUCAGGGACGAAAGCAUGGGGAGCAAACAGGAUUAGAUACCCUUGUAGUCC